rnacentral:rRNA from 1 species
AAGCUCGUAGUUGAAUUUCGGGGUUAGUAGGUUGGUCAUGCCUCUGGUAUGUACUGGUCUCACUGAUUCCUCCUUCCUUAUGAACCGUAAUGCCAUUAAUUUGGUGUUGCGGGGAAUUUGGACUGUUAUUUUGAAAAAAUUAGAGUGUUUAAAAGCAAGCUAACGCUUGAAUACAUUAGCAUGGAAUAAUGAAAUAGGACGUUCGAUCUUAUUUUGUUGGUUUCUAGGUAUUGACGUAAUGAUUAAUAGGGAUAGUUGGG